rnacentral:rRNA from 1 species
UACGUAGGGUGCAAGCGUUGUCCGGAAUUAUUGGGCGUAAAGAGCGUGUAGGCGGCCUUUUAAGUCCUGCGUGAAAUCCUGCGGCUCAACCGCAGACGGUCGUGGGAAACUGGAAGGCUAGAGUGCGGGGAGAGGAGAGUGGAGUUCCCGGUGUAGCGGUGAAAUGCGCAGAUAUCGGGAAGAACACCCGUGGCGAAGGCGGCUCUCUGGAACGCAACUGACGCUGAGACGCGAAAGCGUGGGGAGCAAACAG